GAAACCAUGCGCGUAACCCCAUGUGCAUGCCGAGCAGGCCUCACGCCAGUUUAGGGUCUCUGGUAUCUCCCGCUGAGCUGCUCUGUUCCCGGCUUAGAGGACCAGGAGAAGGGGGAGUUGGAGGCUGGAGCCUGUAACACCGUGGCUCGUCUCGCUCUGGAUGGUGGUGGCAACAGAGAUGGCAGCGCAGCUGGAGUGUUAGGAGGGCGGCCUGAGCGGUAGGAGUGGGGCUGGAGCAGUAAGAUGGCGGCCGGAGCAGUAAGAUGGCGGCUGGAGUGGUUUUUCUGGCAUUGUCUGCCCAGCUGCUCCAAGCCAGGCUGAUGAAGGAGGAGUCCCCUGUGGUGAGCUGGAGGUUGGAGCCUGAAGAUGGCACAGCUCUAGAUGGAGUUUCACCACGUUGCCCAGGCUGGUUUCGAACUCCUGAGCUCAAAUGAUCCACCUGCCUCAGCCUCCGAAAGUGCUGGAGUUAAAAGCGUGAGCCACCAUGCCCGGCCAAGAGCUGUUUACUUUAUCCCUCCUUCCCAAAUGUUAAUUAGCUUUGUAAUUGUUACUUAUGUAUUAUAUAUUACUUAUUAUAUUAUUAAUAUUUUAACUUGCUUGAUUUCUUUUAUGUGUAGUGUAUAAGAGUGUUGACAUUUGAGAAGUUCCCUGUAGAAAUCUAUUCUUUGAUAUUGUCUAUGAUUUUACAAGUCCUUUUUAUUUGGUUUAGGAAGAUACAUUCCAGACUGUGUAUAUAUAGUAAACGUUUUCUUUUAAUGCCGAGUGCUCUUCAUUAGCUAUUUAAUUGUAACAUAUGGGUUUGAAGCGUUCCCCUAAAUGUAGUGUUUUAUUUUCCUUCUUUUAUUCACUGAUACCUUUAUAUGAUAUUGUAAAUUAGUAUGUUAGAUAUAUUCCAGUACUUUUCGUAUUAGUUUAGCUAAUAUAAUAUUUUUCAUUGCAGAUAUGAUUAAGAGAACAUAUUGGUGUUUCUAAAAUGAGAAAGACAUUGAGAAGCUGGUCAAUUUAAAUUAUUUUCUGUUAUUAUAUACUUACCUCUCAUUAUAUUUUAUCUGCCAAGAUUAUUUUUAGUGCAAAAGGCUUCUGCAAAACUUGCCAUAUGGUAUCAAAAUAAGCGAUUUUAGAUUUUAACAAUUUAGCAGAAAUUAGUUAUGCUAAUGAGUUGUUAUAAAUAUUUUUCAACAGAUUGAUUGUACUUUUUCUUUCGACAUUUACGUGAACUUUCUGUUUGGACAUUUAGACUACCAAGGUGUUGUAUUUGCAGUUAAUUCUGGGUUCUGUUAAUGCACUAAACAUAUUUAGAUACCUUGGGAGUUACAAUAUAAAAAAUUACCUGUUUUGUAAAAGCUGGUUAUUACACUUUAUCAAUGAAGACAAAUAUUUUUUCUGUGUUUCUAAUACAUUAAUACCCUUGAGUGCCAAAAUAGCACUGAAAUGUUAUUCUGUAUACUUAUAAAUAUUAUAUAAAAUUAAAGUGUCACAACA
rnacentral:lncRNA from 1 species